GCCUCCUUAGCUCAGUGGCAGAGCACUAGUCUUGUAAACUAGGGGCCGUGAGUUCAAUUCUCACAGGGGGCA
rfam:Daphnia pulex DAPPTscaffold_24_Cont1464, whole genome shotgun sequence.